GUAAGGCCAGUGUGUUGGAGCUGUCUGGACUGCAGAAUGUGUGUUAACGUGAUGAUAAUGUAUUGGUCAGGUGGGUCGUAAGGCCAGUGUGUUGGAGCUGUCUGGACUGCAGAAUGUGUGUUAACGUGAUGAUAAUGUAUUGGUCAGGUGGGUCAUAAGGCCAGUGUGUUGGAGCUGUCUGGACUGCAGAAUGUGUGUUAACGUGAUGAUAAUGUAUUGGUCAGGUGGGUCGUAAGGCCAGUGUGUUGGAGCUGUCUGGACUGCAGAAUGUGUGUUAACGUGAUGAUAAUGUAUUGGUCAGGUGGGUCGUAAGGCCAG